UCCUGGUUAACCCAGGCAGUCUCACUAGAGUUCCCACCAUUACGUGCUGGCAACUAGUGACAAGGGUUGCGCUCGUUGCGGGACUUAACCCAACACCUCACGGCACGAGCUGACGACAGCCAUGCAGCACCUGUUUAGCAGCCCUUGCGGGAAAGUACGUUUCCGUACCGAUCUACUAUAUGUCAAGUCUAGGUAAGGUUCUUCGCGUAGCAUCGAAUUAAACCACAUGCUCCACUGCUUGUGCGAGCCCCCGUCAAUUCUUUUGAGUUUCACCCUUGCGAGCGUACUCCCCAGGCGGUGUACUUAUCGCGUUAGCUACGAUACAGACUGGGUUGAGCCAAUCUACAUCAAGUACACAUCGUUUACAGCGUGGACUAC
rnacentral:misc_RNA from 1 species